UCAUGGUUAGCUCAGUUGGUAGAGCACUGGACUGCAGAGCAGGAGAUCGCCGGUUUGAAUCACGGCCGUACCACAAA